UCUGGAGACACCAGACACGCCCCAGCGCUCAUUAGGCAGACCGCGCCCACUCUCCGCCACAGCUUGCGGCAAUCAACGACUGACACACCUGGCAUGGAUGAAGGACGGCAGUAUAAGAACGGUCGCCGCUGACUCUUCGAUGUGAGAACGUAAUCUACUACCCUGCUUGUAUCACCACUGCUGUUUUCCUCCUGAACCUGUUUGCCUCCCUGAAUCCUCGACCUAACUUUGGACUUUCGAACCCCCUCUCCUGCUUUUGACCACCGCUUGGACCUUGGACUUCCACUGGCUUCUUCCCUACUCUGAUUUGGACGCUGAACAUCCAACACGCACCUCAACAAGCCUCACGGUAUUUACAUAUGGUAAUUCUACACAUAGUCAUUCAUGCAGACACAUAGUAGCAUACACACUCCACAUAUUCAUCAAGUAUACAAUAAACUUAUUGAACUUGUCAUCCUGUUGCUGUGCUGUCUCUUUCCCCAGUAGCACCUUAACAACAAUAGAUCAGAUCAUGGCCAGUACGACUACGGCAUCAGUGGCGGAUGUGUUGGCUGAACCAAUGGCAAUGGCACUAGAUUUGCCUGAGGAGGGCGAUCAAGAUCAGGGAAAUACAAGAGAACAAGGAUGCCAGAUGGACUGUGUACCGAUUGGGAGAGCACCAACGGCAAUGACUAGUAGCAAGAGCACCCAAACAGGGAAAAUACAACAGAUCAAAGAGACACCAGGUGACCCCAGAGAUCCUCGAGAGGGUUAGAGCUCGGCCAGCCGGGGUUAGUGAAGUCCCAUCGUCAAGUGCAGUAGCUCCAUCUGACAGCCCCGAGAUGCAGCCCAACAUAGCAUCUCCAGGUGCGUCUGGAAUGCAAGCCAAGCUACGACCACCUCUUGCAUUGUUUGAUGAAAGACCAGCAUUAAGUCCUGCUGCGCCUUCUGAUAGUGGUUCUUCCGAUGUCAGCUAUGUUCCGAGUGGGUGAUCGACAUCGGAUCCGUGUCAAUCUGACGCGUCACCAGAUCCCACACGUACUCCUAAGAUGUGGGAAGAAGGCUGCCACAAGGAACUGAAGUACAUAAUCUUUGAGUCGUGCCUCCAGAGUCUCGUCAAGUGGUGUCACAGUCCAGCCUGUGGCAGCCAGGACAUAAGCCCUUCUUGGGAUUCGAACGGUACACAGCUGAUCAUGACCAUACAAUGUGCAUCAUGUGACCGGAGGAGUAGGUGGAGCAGCCAGCCAAACAUUGGCCCUUAUGCCGUGGGCAACAUUCUGCUAUCUGCUGGCAUUCUCUUCGCUGGCGCAUCUUCUGGCAAGGUGUUGCAAGUGCUGAACAGCAUCGGAGUGGUCACGUAUGUGAAGAGAACAUUUUUCAACCACCAAGAGCUCAUCCUGCAGCCAGCCAUCAAAAAGGUGUGGAAGGAACAGCAACGGACGCACCUCACCCCCUCGUCUUUGGUGGUGAUGGGCGAGCAGACAGUCCGGGACACAGCGCCAAGUUCGGUACCUACACCACAAUGGAGCUAGAGGCCAAUGUGGUUCUCGACCUUCAGGUUGUACAGAGCAACGAAUGUCAUGGCAGCUACUAUAUGGAGAUGGAAGGACUGAGGAGGAUUGUGGAUCUGCUGAUCAGCUGGGACCUGGAUGUCAGGUUGCUGGCGACAGACAGAUAUAGACAGAUCGCUAAAUGGAUUUGCGAAAACAUGCCCAAUACACGGCACUGCUAUGAGAUCUGCCAUCGGGAAGACACUGAAGGCCAUCGUCAAGCUCAAGGACUGUGAAGACCUGAAGCCCUGGGUGCUAAGUAUGAUUAACCACCUCUACUGGGCAGGAGCGUCUACACCGCCUGGAGAGGGGGAACCUCUGGUUGCCAAGUGGAAGUCUGUGGAGCGACACAUUCAGAACAUCCACACGGACCAUGGCGACCUCUUCCCAAUUUGUGCUCAUGGACAACUGCACGGUAGAAGUAUGCAAAAGAAAUGGUUCAAACCAAGUAAGUAGGCAAAUAAGUUGCCCGAAAGCAGUGAGGGAAUAGCAGUAUUUUCCUGCACAUCUUUUGAAAGUGCCCUGCGAUGAGGGGGAGACUUGUCCAGGGUGUACCCCGCUUUCCACCCGAUUGUAGCUGAGGUAGGCACCAGCGCACCCCACGUCCCCAAAAGCAAUAAGCGGUAGAAAAAUGGAUGGAUGGUUCUUUUAAAAGUCAAAAAAAUCAGAUAAAUUAGUACAUAAAUAACUAGUUUUCAAAUUGACUGGAACAUUUUUGUAGAAACAUUGUUCUAUUUUAAAUGUAUGUUUAGGUUCACGCUCAGCAGUGAAACUGGAGGAGGUGGUCAACAAGUCCCUGCUGAAAGAUAUCGCCAUGCUGUUGGGUGAACACUAGACUUCCAAGGUGGAAUUAGGCUGAUCGCCUGUCGGUGGCGUCAGUGGUUACCACCUGCCACUAGAACUUUGGGGGCCAGGGAGCAAAAUAAUAGAGAAGUGGUUCUCAACAUUUUUUCAGUGAUGUACCCCCUGUGAAUAUUUUUUAAUUCAAGUACCCCCAAUCAGAGCAAAGCAUUGUUGGUUGAAAAAAAGAGAUAAAGUAGUAAAAUACAUCACUAUGUCAUCAGUUUCUGAUUUAUUAAAUUGUAUGACAGUGCAAAAUAUUGCUUAUUUGUAGUGGUCUUUCUUGAACUAUUUGGAAAAAAAUAUAUAAAAAUAACUAGUGAUUCAAUUAUAAAUAAAGACUUCUACACAUAGAAGUAAUCAUCAACUUAAAGUGCCCUCUUUGGGGAUUGUAAUAGAGAUCCAUCUGGAUUCAUGAACUUAAUUCUAAACAUUUCUUUACAGAAAAAGAAAUCUUUAACAUCAAUAUUUAUGAAAGAUGUCCACAAAAAAAUCUAGUUGUCAACACUGAAUAUUGCAUUGUUGUGUUUCUUCACAGUUUAUGAACUUACAUCAGGGGUGUCAAACUCAAAUACAGAGUGGGCCAAAAUUUAAAACCGAACAAAGCCACGGGCCGAGGUUGAACAAAUUAACCUUUUAAUAGGGACCCAAACAAGUUUUGCAUUGAAUAUUGAACAAGCAAGGCAUAUAUAACUUUAUAGUGACAUGCACAAUCAAGUUUCAAAUAAUAAGUAAAAAAUAUCAAUGGCAUAUCAAAUACAAUUUAAAUAAAAAUUGAAUGCGGUGGUGAGGUGGACGGGGUUUGCUGAUAGCGGGGGGUGUAUAUUGUAGCGUCCCGGAAGAGUUAGUGCUGUAAGGUGUUCUGGGUAUUUGUUCUCUUGUGUUUAUGUUGUUACAGUGCAGAUGUUCUCCCGAAAUGUGUCAUUCUUGUUUGGUGUGGGUUCACAGUGUGGCACAUAUUUGUAACAGUGUUGAAGUUGUUUAUACGGCCACCCUCAGUGUGACGUGCAUGGCUGUUGACCAAGUAUGCCUUGCAUACUUGGUCAACAUAAGCCGCAUAUAUUAUAUGACUGGGCCGGCACGCUGUUUGUAUGGAGGAAAAGCGAACGUGGAGACAUGUUGUAGAGAACGACCAAAGGCAGUGCCCUUAAAGCCCACCCCAAAUAUGGUUGUCCCGGAUGAAAUUCGGAAGGGGCACUGAAUUUCGGGAGUUUCCCGGUAAAAUCGGGAGGGUUGGCAAGUAAGAGUAUUAGCGGUGAAUGCGGUGUUACAGCGGCGGGCCAGCUCUAAUCUUAAUUUGAUAUUGCCUCAAGGGCCGAGUGAAAUUACACGGCGGGCCAAAAUUUGCCCGCGGGCCAGAGUUUGACACCCAUGACUUACAUUCAUAUUUUAAGUAUUAUUUAAUAAAGGAUUUUUGAAUUGUUGCUACAAAACAGCUUCAUCAUUGCAGGAAAUCAAUUUAUAAUAGCUGACUAUAAAACGUUUAUUACACAAACAUUUGUAUUCAAAUUUAUUAACAAUUUAUAAAUUUACACACACAUUGUAUGGACGCAUGACUGAAUAAAGUGUCUUUUAUCUUAUAUAGUUUGCACCGAAAAUGUGUCUUCUCAUACAUCGGAAUGCUGUGCAGGUAUGUUUCCACACUAAUCUAAGUGUCACUAUAGUGUGUGCCGUACUUUUGCAUAUAAUAGAUUGAUUGGCAACAUUAAAUUGGCCCUAGUGUGUGAGUGUGAAUUUUGUCUAUCUGUGUUGGCCCUGCGAUGAGGUGGCGACUUGUCCAGGGUGUAUACCGUCUUCCGCCCGAUUGUAGCUGAGAUAGGCACCAUUGACCCCAAAGGCAAUAAGCGAUAGAAAAUAGAUGAAUGGAUAUAUGACCUCAUUAAACACACACGUUCAAAUGUAUCUGUUCUCUCUGCUGAGUAAAUUACAGUCUAAUUAUUAAAUUAUUCUAUUACCACACCUAGGAACCUGCUUGCUUGGGCUGCACUGGAAUGAAAACUCGAGCCGCCCUACAGCCACUACACAACCGGGUGCUGAGCGCUAUACAGUACGCUACCCGAAGUAUAAAGCAGGGGGCCAUGUGGUCAAGAAAAUCGCGACAGAGCCAACAUACCGUAAGUGUAGAGGACACAAAACAUGUAAACACUCAACACUUUGUAUCAUGAUAAUAAUACUGUCAGGUUUCACUCUCCAUGAGUUUAUUAUGUUGUGAGCAGGAAAAUGUACAAUUGUAUUUUGCAAGCUACGUAGAUGACUGGAUCAGGGAGGUUUUUGCGGGCUGCAGAGAGACCCCUGACGAGAGAACACCAGUCAGCGUCACCGUGGAUGUGCCUCCCUUCCUCUGCGAUGAACUGGAGAAGCCAGACAAGGAGGAAGCCAUCGCCAAGCACAGGAGUCACUUCGCUAAGCGUUAACUACAGUGGCCAUGUGGAUUCUGUUGCAGUCACUGCCCGUCUUGGAACCCCUAGUAGUCCAUCGAUGGAAAUGUUGUUCUAAUCUUAUGUACUACACAAGCUGGUAGUGCCACCCUUAUCUCCUUUACCAGAUAUCCCCAGCAGAAGCGGACAAACUGUCGAUAUGCUGUGUAUCGUCUCCACCUGGAAGUACAAAAUAGUUAUUAGCAAAUAAUGGCACCUUUUAUUAUCCAGACAUGGAUACACAGUGACUCACUGUUCUCUGGGGUGCAAAAGACAUUGUCAUGCAUUCUAUUCAUUUGUCAUUUACUGUUGCGGUAAAUCUUAAACAUUGUUGACAUCCACGGUCUACGUAUGUAAUACUUCCUUGAUAUAUAAUGUCAUGUACAUUGUAGCACAGUACAUUUCACAGGAUAAGACUAAGGUAAGAAAGUGCUCAUUCUGACUUAUCUUCCAAAGGUUGAUAGAAUAAAGAAUUAUUUAAACUUA